UACGUAGGCAGCGAGCGUUGUUCGGAAUUACUGGGCGUAAAGAGUGUGUAGGCGGUGCUCUAAGUUCGGUGUGAAAUCUCCUGGCUUAACUGGGAGGGUGCGCCGGAAACUGGGGUGCUCGAGCGUGGGAGAGGAAAGCGGAAUUCCUGGUGUGAGCGGUGGAAAUGCGUAGAUAUCAGGAGGAACACCUGUGGUGUAGACAGCUUUCUGGACCAUUGCUGACGCUGAGACACGAAAGCGUGGGUAGCAAACAGG
rnacentral:rRNA from 1 species